GAACAGCUGAUGCGAGUCCAAGUCAAAUCAUGCACGUUGCCUUUAAUCUCCUUUAAUCUCAUACAUGAAACUUGAGAUAUUACUAAUGAUGUUCCAGGCAUCCCUGAUGUCCUUGUUCCUACAAUCUCUGUAUCACCUUUCUUCCUCUGCAAUUGCAGUUGUUUGGUCUCAAGGAAAAACAGAUCUCUUCAUCUCAUGGGAAAUUUUCUGGUUCAGAUCUUUCAAGAAUUCAGAAUGGUGUAAUGGCAUGUAUUUCCUUCUACCAGAAUCUUGACUUGGAUCCACACCAUCUUCCUCCUCUGUAACUACGGGUUGCAUAUGCUUAUUUCUUUUGUUCUUCACAUAUUUUCAGUAAUCCUGACUCUCUGCAUGUAUUCUUUAAUUUUUGGCCAUGGCAUUUCUUGAACUCUUUCGGGUUUUUUUUGGCAUUAUAGUACUAUAAUGAGCUGAUGCUGAUUUCCAAUAUUAGUCACCAAUGCAGUCCAAAACUCUGAGCCUAGCUCCAGCAUUUACCCUCUUCCCUUCCCUUAAGCCCCGACACAGAGCCCUCCUUUUCCACCAAAUCAUUGUACUAGUCAUCGCCUUUCUUGCUUAUGCCUCCUUCCUGGCCUCGAAAAAGCCGGCAAGCAUUGUCAAGAGCAGAUUGAACCCAGAGUUCAACUCAAUUCUUCUGUGAUUCAAUACACUUUGAUUUCAGCAGAACAAAAUUCAAGCUCCACGGACACUGGCUGGCUCCAUUUAAUGGUCCUGAGGGGACCAUUUGGCUUGGAGAGCUUGAUCUUGCAUUCUUAUUGUCAUAUUCGAUAGGAAUGUAUUUUGCUGGUCAUGUUGGUGAUAGGAUUGAUGUGAGGUUGUUUCUUGUUUCUGGGA
rnacentral:misc_RNA from 1 species